rnacentral:rRNA from 1 species
AUUGAACGCUGGCGGCAGGCCUAACACAUGCAAGUCGAGCGGAGCGGCGGACGGGUGAGUAAUGCCUAGGAAUCUGCCUGGGAGUGGGGGAUAAAGUCCGGAAACGGGCGAUAAUACCGCAUACUAUCAGAUGAGCCUAGGUGGGAUUAGCUAGUUGGUGGGGUAAAGGCCUACCAAGGCGACGAUCCGUAACUGGUCUGAGAGUGUGAUCAGUCACAUUGGAACGUAGACACGGUCCAGACUCCGACGGGAGGCAGCAGUGGGGAAUAUGGGACAAUGGGCGAAAGCCUGAUCCAGCCAUGCCGCGUGUGGGAAGAAGGUAUUCGGAUUGUAAAGCACGUGAAGUUGAGAGGCGUUACCAACAGAAUAAGCACCGGCGAACUUCGUGCCAGCAGCCGCGGUAAUUC